rnacentral:rRNA from 1 species
AGAGUUUGAUCCUGGCUCAGGAUGAACGCUAGCGGCAGGCCUAACACAUGCAAGUCGAACGGUAACAUGAGAGCUUGCUCUUGAUGACGAGUGGCGCACGGGUGCGUAACGCGUAUACAAUCUACCUUUUACAGGGGGAUAGCCUUUAGAAAUGAAGAUUAAUACCCCAUGGUAUAAUGAUAUGGCAUCAUAUUAUUAUUAAAGUUUCGGCGGUAAAAGAUGAGUAUGCGUUCUAUUAGCUAGAUGGUGUGGUAACGGCACACCAUGGCAACGAUAGAUAGGGGCCCUGAGAGGGGGAUCCCCCACACUGGUACUGAGACACGGACCAGACUCCUACGGGAGGCAGCAGUGAGGAAUAUUGGACAAUGGAGGCAACUCUGAUCCAGCCAUGCCGCGUGCAGGAAGACUGCCCUAUGGGUUGUAAACUGCUUUUAUACAGGAAGAAACACCUCUACGUGUAGAGAUUUGACGGUACUGUAAGAAUAAGGAUCGGCUAACUCCGUGCCAGCAGCCGCGGUAAUACGGAGGAUCCAAGCGUUAUCCGGAAUCAUUGGGUUUAAAGGGUCCGUAGGUGGAUAAUUAAGUCAGAGGUGAAAGUCUGCAGCUCAACUGUAGAAUUGCCUUUGAUACUGGUUAUCUUGAGUUAUUAUGAAGUAGUUAGAAUAUGUAGUGUAGCGGUGAAAUGCAUAGAUAUUACAUAGAAUACCAAUUGCGAAGGCAGAUUACUAAUAAUUAACUGACACUGAUGGUCGAAAGCGUGGGGAGCGAACAGGAUUAGAUACCCUGGUAGUCCACGCCGUAAACCAUGGUUACUAGCUGUUCGGACUUCGGUCUGAGUGGCUAAGCGAAAGUGAUAAGUAACCCACCUGGGGAGUACGUUCGCAAGAAUGAAACUCAAAGGAAUUGACGGGGGCCCGCACAAGCGGUGGAGCAUGUGGUUUAAUUCGAUGAUACGCGAGGAACCUUACCAGGGCUUAAAUGUAGUGUGACAGGACUAGAGAUAGUUUUUUCUUCGGACACAUUACAAGGUGCUGCAUGGUUGUCGUCAGCUCGUGCCGUGAGGUGUCAGGUUAAGUCCUAUAACGAGCGCAACCCCUGUUGUUAGUUGCCAGCGAGUGAUGUCGGGAACUCUAACAAGACUGCCGGUGCAAACCGUGAGGAAGGUGGGGAUGACGUCAAAUCAUCACGGCCCUUACGUCCUGGGCUACACACGUGCUACAAUGGUAGGUACAGAGAGCAGCCACUGCGUGAGCAGGAGCGAAUCUAUAAAACCUAUCACAGUUCGGAUCGGAGUCUGCAACUCGACUCCGUGAUGCUGGAAUCGCUAGUAAUCGCAUAUCAGCCAUGAUGCGGUGAAUACGUUCCCGGGCCUUGUACACACCGCCCGUCAAGCCAUGGAAGCUGGGAGUGCCUGAAGUCCGUCACCGCAAGGAGCGGCCUAGGGUAAAAUUAGUAACUAGGGCUAAGUCGGAACAAGGUA